rnacentral:misc_RNA from 1 species
GAUGAAGAACGCAGCGAAAUGCGAUACGUAAUGUGAAUUGCAGAAUUCAGUGAAUCAUCGAGUCUUUGAACGCACAUUGCGCCCCCUGGUAUUCCGGGGGGCAUGCCUGUCCGAGCGUCAUUGCUGCCCUCAAGCACGGCUUGUGUGUUGGGCCUCCGUCCUCCUCCCAGGGGACGGGCCCGAAAGGCAGCGGCGGCACCGCGUCCGGUCCUCGAGCGUAUGGGGCUUCGUCACCCGCUCUUGUAGGCCCGGCCGGCGCUUGCCGACACAUCAAUCUUUUUUCCAGGUUGACCUCGGAUCAGGUGGGGAUACCCGCUGAACUUAAGCAUAUCAAUAAGCGGAGGA